rnacentral:rRNA from 1 species
GGCUUGCUCUGUGGGAUCAGUGGCGAACGGGUGAGUAACACGUGAGCAACCUGCCCCUGACUCGGGGAUAAGCGCUGGAAACGGCGUCUAAUACUGGAUAUGUGACGUGACCGCAUGGUCUGCGUCUGGAAAGAAUUUCGGUUGGGGAUGGGCUCGCGGCCUAUCAGCUUGUUGGUGAGGUAAUGGCUCACCAAGGCGUCGACGGGUAGCCGGCCUGAGAGGGUGACCGGCCACACUGGGACUGAGACACGGCCCAGACUCCUACGGGAGGCAGCAGUGGGGAAUAUUGCACAAUGGGCGCAAGCCUGAUGCAGCAACGCCGCGUGAGGGACGACGGCCUUCGGGUUGUAAACCUCUUUUAGCAGGGAAGAAGCGAAAGUGACGGUACCUGCAGAAAAAGCGCCGGCUAACUACGUGCCAGCAGCCGCGGUAAUACGUAGGGCGCAAGCGUUAUCCGGAAUUAUUGGGCGUAAAGAGCUCGUAGGCGGUUUGUCGCGUCUGCUGUGAAAUC